AGAAGUAUUUUAUUUUCAACUCAAAAAUAUGGCAAUAUUUUUGUUUUAAAAAAGUGUUUUGUGGAGUAGUGUUUGUUUGAUUUAAAGUGGGGGAGGAAGAAAGCUGCAGGUAACUCUGGGGCUGUUUGCUUAAUAAAGGUCUUUCUGUUUCUGUUUUGCUGUUUGCUGUUUGCUGUUUGCUGUUGCUGUUGCUGCUUUGCAGAAAUACAGAGACGCACAAACAGGGCAUUAAGGCCCCCCACUUGGAGACACAUUGAUCCGUGUUGUGAAUUUUGGAUACAAUAACCCCUCUACUAUUUUAAAUGGCUGUAAAUGCAGCACGUACUUUUUCC
rnacentral:lncRNA from 1 species